rnacentral:ncRNA from 1 species
AUAAAACUGCCACCGGGUAGUGAAUGUAAACGCAUUCGUUUUCACAUCGUUAGGUCUUUGAAGAUGUGAAUACGGAUGCGUUUUUUCA